rnacentral:snRNA from 14 species
UGCACCCCAGGCUGAGGUAACAUUGAAACUGACCCAAAGAAAUUUGGCGUUAGCUAUAAAUUUUGGAACGUCUCCUUUCGGGGAGACAAA